CAGUUAGGAGCUAUCACUUUGUGCACGGCAUUGGCCAAGUCGUGACUCAUCAGUGUCAGUUUCUGAGUUUCAUACUGGAAUGAUGAUGAUCUCAUUGGAUGCAUAAAACCCAGAUGUCCCAGAGACCCUUUCAGGUCGAAACUACUUUCAUGAUAAUGGAGAGAAAGUGAGACCCCCAGCAGGAGCCUCAUGCAGCAACCCACCCUCAACCUCAGCCAUCCUGCAUCUUGGCCACGUGUGUGCCUGAUACAUAUGUACACGGAGGUCUUGGACAUGCAACAGCACCAUCCCAUGUGAAGUUGC